ensembl:lncRNA
GAAGAAGAGGCACAUCCUGGAACAAGGUUACACUGUUGAUAGUUACGCAAGAGGGAAAAUUAUGCAUGUUUUGUUUACUUUCUCUAUCGAAUACAGAUUGCCCCGUCUACAAUUUGAUCGAUUAUUAACGUUUAAAAAUACCUAAAGUUGUAGUACAAAAGUAGUUUGAAAUAUUUUGGCAAAGUUUAUAGGCAACUUUUGAAAUGUUUUGUAGUGACGUUGUGUUUUGGAAAGCUGUUUUUUUCCAGAUCAAACCUGCUUUAUAAAUGGACAUGUUGGGUAUACAUGGACGGAAUUAAUCGAAAAAAAAAGGACCAAUUGUGAUGUUUAUGGGACAUAUUGGAGUGCCAACAAAGAAGCUCGUCAAAGGCCGGUGGUGGCUGGUUCACUGCAAUGCAGCAAUGAAGGGUCCAAGACGUCCUCCACCGGCACCCAGCAUCUCCGGACCGUACCCCUCCCACUCUUCUAUGACUAACGAGAACAGAGCAGGAGAUAUUGGACAGCCUUGACUACAGCCCCUCCCGAUAGGAACUCUUUCUGAUAAUUUACCAUUUGCAUUAACUGCCACUGAUGGGUCAAAAUAAAGUAAUUUUACUAAAUUAAUAAAAUUGUCACCCAGAUUAACUGCUUCUAAUACAGCAAACAAGCAUUUACACUCAAAUCUAUCGAAGGCCUUUCGGCGAGAGAGACAAUGAGUGUAGGGUCUUUAAUUCUGCAAAGGUGGUUUAUGAUAUUCAAAGAACGUCUCACAUUGUCCGUUCCAAAUCUGGAUUUGGCAUAUCUAGAUUUGGCAUAACUUGUCCAAUAAAGAAUAUAAAUUAUGGGGUAUAGAGUAGAAAUUAUAGUCUCUGACAUUAGGAUUUAGCUCUCUCCAUACGUCUACUAAGCC